GUGUACAGCUGAAUCUCCCAGAGAAAACACUGCACAUGAAUUAGUGCGUUGUCAAUCUUGGAAGUUAAACGGAGUCAGGCCUGGUUAGUACUUGGAUAGAAGAUCACCUAGGAAGACCAGGUGCUGUAGGAG
ensembl:rRNA 5S_rRNA 5S ribosomal RNA